AUAAACAUAUCAUCAGCUUGAUCAGGAUGAUGAAGAGAAUUGCUUGAGUUUGGAAUGUUACAUAACCAAGAUUAGGUCACUAGUGGACAUCAACUAAGCGACACAUGCAUGCCCAACCAAAAGCCAUUCAAACCUUGUAAUCAACCUACUCCACAUCGUCUCUUUGCAUCGGCUAACUCACUUGGGAGGUGGUCCGGCGGCCAUGGGUGGCGCAGGCGGUCCGUAGUACAUAGGCGUCGACUCCGUCCUGCCCUUUCUCCGGCCGAGUAGGUAGCAAGCAAGGGCCAGGAUCGCCACCAGCAGAAUCAACGGCACCGAUAUAACCACCACGAACCCCAUCUUCUUCUUCCUCCUCCGCCACUCGACCUCGUUAGCACAUCAGCAUGCGCACAAAUCUACCACGGAAAUAUGGCUGAAGAAAACGAAAUAAACCGCUAACACGACAUACCUCUUCGGAUGGGGCAGGAGAGCACCACCUGAGAUCGCAGGUUUCCUUCUUCCUCUGUGACUGUGGACAGGUGAGAGAGAGAAGAAGAAGGAAUGGGGUUAUCGGUUGGCCAUCGUUUAAAGAACACAAAAGCGAUGGCAGACACCAGAUGGCGUUUGCUCAUGGAAGACUUGGAUGACUUCUCUUCUACUCGGACAACGACAACUGUGACAACAGC
rnacentral:lncRNA from 1 species